AGUGAACGCUGGCGGUAGGCCUAACACAUGCAAGUCGAACGGCAGCACAGUAAGAGCUUGCUCUUACGGGUGGCGAGUGGCGGACGGGUGAGGAAUACAUCGGAAUCUACUUUUUCGUGGGGGAUAACGUAGGGAAACUUACGCUAAUACCGCAUACGACCUACGGGUGAAAGCAGGGGAUCUUCGGACCUUGCGCGAUUGAAUGAGCCGAUGUCGGAUUAGCUAGUUGGCGGGGUAAAGGCCCACCAAGGCGACGAUCCGUAGCUGGUCUGAGAGGAUGAUCAGCCACACUGGAACUGAGACACGGUCCAGACGCCUACGGGAGGCAGCAGUGGGGAAUAUUGGACAAUGGGCGCAAGCCUGAUCCAGCCAUACCGCGUGAGUGAAGAAGGCCUUCGGGUUGUAAAGCCCUUUUGUUGGGAAAGAAAAGCAGCAGGUUAAUACCCCGCUGUUCUGACGGUACCCAAAGAAUAAGCACCGGCUAACUUCGUG
rnacentral:rRNA from 1 species